rnacentral:piRNA from 1 species
UAUGAUGUUGCCGUAGGCUGGCCUUG